AUUGAACGCUGGCGGCAGGCUAAACACAUGCAAGUCGAGCGGAGAUGAGGUGCUUGCACCUUAUCUUAGCGGCGGACGGGUGAGUAAUGCUUAGGAAUCUGCCUAUUAGUGGGGGACAACAUUCCGAAAGGAAUGCUAAUACCGCAUACGUCCUACGGGAGAAAGCAGGGGAUCUUCGGACCUUGCGCGAAUAGAUGAGCCUAAGUCGGAUUAGCUAGUUGGUGGGGUAAAGGCCUACCAAGGCGACGAUCUGUAGCGGGUCUGAGAGGAUGAUCCGCCACACUGAGACUGAGACACGGCCCAGACUCCUAAGGGAGGCAGCAGUGGGGAAUAUUGGACAAUGGGGGGAACCUGAUCCAGCCAUGCCGCGUGUGUGAAGAAGGCCUUAUGGUUGUAAAGCACUUUAAGCGAGGAGGAGGCUACUGAGACUAAUACUCUUGGAUAGUGGACGUUACUCGCAGAAUAAGCACCGGCUAACUCUGUGCCAGCCGCCGCAGUAACAC
rnacentral:rRNA from 1 species